UACGUAGGUGGCGAGCGUUGUCCGGAUUUACUGGGCGUAAAGAGCGCGCAGGCGGUCGUAUAAGUCGCGUGUGAAAGCCCCCGGCUCAACUGGGGAGGGUCACGCGAUACUGUUCGACUUGAAGGCAGGAGAGGGAAGCGGAAUUCCCGGUGUAGUGGUGAAAUGCGUAGAUAUCGGGAGGAACACCAGUGGCGAAGGCGGCUUCCUGGCCUGUUCUUGACGCUGAGGCGCGAAAGCUGGGGGAGCAAACAGG
rnacentral:rRNA from 1 species